rnacentral:lncRNA from 7 species
GUGGAGAGGGAGAAGUGAGGGGGGUGAGUAAGUGGGGGCGUGGGUGGAUGGGGGGGGAGAGGAGAGAGGGUAGGAAGGAAAAAAUUGGAGGUAGGGUGAGGGAAGGGGGAGGGUUGAAGGGAAAAUAAUGAAACAGAGGAAAAAAGAGAAUAACAAGUAAAAAGCAAUGCAUGUAAAUACAGAGCAAGCAAGUAGGAAAGCUAGGCAUAGCACAGCAAAAGAGAGCAAAGCAAAAGAAGGCAAAGAAUGACAAAAAGCAACCUUGCAGGAAUGGAGGAAUCUGGCCAGAGCUGUGCCCCUGCUUGCCACAGGAGCUGCGCGGGAGGAGAAGAAUGUGGGCCAAAAGGAAUGGAGGAAUCUGGCCAGAGCUGUGCCCCUGCUUGCCACAGGAGCUGCGCGGGAGGAGAAGAAUGUGGGCCAAAAGGUAAGAGGAGCUCCUUUGGGUUCUGGGCUUGAAGCAAAGCUGAGAAGCCAUGCCCGGGAGGAGGUGUGGGUAGCUACAGGCCACCUUGCUAUCUCCCCAAGAGAUGAGGUGUGUGGGCUAGGCACCGGGCAGGAGUGCUGGCCAGAAGCAAGCAUCUCUGUGGAGGAAGGCAAAGGGCGGAGGAGGUUCAAGGGUAGCUACCGGGCAUGGCCUUGCUCAGCAAGGGGAGGAAAAGCCUGAAGGGCACGAGAAGGGGACAGAGAAGGGCAGGCAGUAGGCGUGAAGCUGUGAGCAGAGUAGAGAGCAACUUGGCAGAGCAGCAAGCAGAGUAGGCAAGUGCUGAGGUUUGGCGUGAGUAGCAGCAAAAGCCCAUAGCAUCAAGAAGCAGGAAGUGAGGAGAAGGUAAGUGAAGGGCAGGCAAGGUAAUGGGAGGCAAAGGCAAGGGGAAAGGGGAGGGUAAGGGAGAAAGAGGGGAUGGGGAGGGGAGGGGAUGGGUGAAGAGCAGAGCGGAGGGAAGGGCUGAGGGGAGGGCUGAAGGCAAACCAAUGAUGAAAAAAGAAAAGAAAAAAUAAGAACAAAAAAUAUGAAAUAAGAGAAAAAGAAAAGAAAAAUAAGAAAAAGAGAAAAAAGAAAAGAAAAAGAAAAAAAAAAAGAAAAAGAGAAAAGAAAAAAAAUGAACAAAAAAGAGAAAAAAGAGAAAAGAAAAAAAAUGAACAAAAAAGAGAAAAAAGAGAAAAGAAAAAAAUGAACAAAAAAGAGAAAAAGAGAAAAGAAAAAAAUGAACAAAAAGAGAAAAGAGAAAAGAAAAAAGAAAAGAAAAGGAAAAAAAAAGAAAAAAAGAAAAAAGAAAUAGAAAUAGAGGACAGAAAAAUAUAAAAAAAAGAAAAAAGAAAAAAAGAAAAGAAAAUAAUAGAUGAAAAAAGAGAAACAAAGGAAAAAUGGUUAAUGCAAGAGAAGAAAGGUAAAGAGAAAAGAAGAAAA